CCAGACGCUUCAGAGAAUGAAGAUGAAGAACCCUCUACCUCAGUGAAGACAGUCAAUCGCUCUCCUCCAGACAAUCAACACAUUACAGAGAUGUUCUCAUGUAAUGAAUGAGCAUCACUCUGCUGCUCUUCUGCACAACUUACACAACCUGCUCACAGCUUCCCUGACAAGCUUGAGAUCUGUCUGUAGACAAGUUUCCAUCCAGUUUUUUUAUCAACAGAAUCAAAACUUGCUGUCUCCAUCCAGUUGGUCUUUUACCGCUAAAAUGAUGUGCAUUUUGGACAUAAUUUUAAAUAUAUCACAAAUUAUAUUGUUUCUUGUGCACUCCAAAUAUUUCUAAUAAUGUAUAGAAAAAUUUCACCAGUUUAGUGCUUACUAUAUUUACAAAUAUGCUACUGUAAUAUUAUUAAAGUAGGAAAUAUCAGAAGACAGCAGCACAGUGGGGCAGCUCAUGAAACCCAUGGGUUUGGACAUGGGGCAGCUCAUUUUGUAUCAUCACGUAUGCAACAUUUUAGGGUUCAUAAACAUGAUUGGUCAAGUCAAGGUAUUUUUUUUUUUUUUUUCCACAAAACAAUCCUUGGAUGGAAACCUGGCUAGUGAUGAAACCUGAGAUUAAUAGAGUGAGGCUUCUUUAUACAUUUAGCAGCAAGUUUGUAAGGUUUUGUUUAGUUUGAGCUGUGGUUCUGUGUUGUAGGAAAGAAAGCUCCAAGGAGGUCAUGGAGCAGUGAAGAGCAGAGCGCUGUGAAGAGUACACUCAGAACAUGCUUCUCCUUCAGGAAAGUUCCUGGAAAGGCAGAAUGUCAAUCAUGUCUAGAAGCUAAUCCAGUACUGAGCUCAAGAUCAUGGCUUGAUGUUAAAAACUUUGUCCAUAACACUCUUCAGGCUAUGAAAAGGAAACUUGCUUCUGGCAGGAAUGCUGUCUAAUUUCCUUUCAGGAUAGAAGUUCAGUAUAGACAUACUCAUUUCUAAGAUUUGUUUUUUUCUCAGUUGAGUACUUGAUUUACAUUUCCCUUUUCAAAAUGUAAGCACUUUAUUAUUUCUCCAACAAAAGAAAACAGUAAUCUUUUGUAUUUUGUAUAAACUCCAUGCACUUGUAUUUCCUUUUUCAGAAAAAGCAAGCACUUUACAUUUUUUGAUUUUGUUCAAAAUAUAGAAGAUUUCCAUUUUUCCAGAAGUGCAUUUCAUUUAAAUUUCCCUUUUCAGGGUGAGCACUUGCAGUUUACUUAUAUUUCUUCAGUGGAAGUAAGCACUUAAUAAAGACACAUUAUAUAUUGAUCUCUACUCA
ensembl:lncRNA